AUACGGAGGGUGCAAGCGUUGUUCGGAAUCACUGGGCGUAAAGGGCGCGCAGGCGGUUUGGUAAGUCAGAUGUGAAAGCCCACGGCUCAACCGUGGAAGUGCAUUUGAAACUGUCAGACUUGAGUACUAGAGGGGAAAGUGGAAUUCCCGGUGUAGAGGUGAAAUUCGUAGAUAUCGGGAGGAAUACCGGUGGCGGAGGCGACUUUCUGGCUAGAUACUGACGCUGAGGCGCGAAAGCGUGGGGAGCAAACAGGAUUAGAAACCCCAGUAGUCC
rnacentral:rRNA from 1 species